rnacentral:rRNA from 1 species
AGAGUUUGAUCCUGGCUCAGAAUGAACGCUGGCGGCGUGCUUAACACAUGCAAGUCGAACGAGAACGCUCCGAGCUUGCUUGGAGCAAGUAAAGUGGCGCACGGGUGAGUAACGCGUGGGCAAUCUGCCUUUGAAUUUGGGAUAACACUUCGAAAGGGGUGCUAAUACCGGAUAACAUUCAUAUGGCUUAGGUGGUAUGGAUCAAAGAUGGCCUCUACAUGUAAGCUGUCGUUUGGAGAUGAGCCCGCGUCCCAUCAGCUUGUUGGUGGGGUAAUGGCCUACCAAGGCAACGAUGGGUAGCUGGUCUGAGAGGAUGAUCAGCCACACUGGAACUGACACACGGUCCAGACUCCUACGGGAGGCAGCAGUGAGGAAUUUUGCGCAAUGGGGGGAACCCUGACGCAGCAAUGCCGCGUGAGUGAUGAAGGCCUUCGGGUCGUAAAGCUCUGUCAAGUGGGAAGAACCUACUGAAUGUUAACAGCAUUUAGUACUGACGGUACCACUGAAGGAAGCACCGGCUAACUCCGUGCCAGCAGCCGCGGUAAUACGGAGGGUGCAAGCGUUAUUCGGAUUUACUGGGCGUAAAGGGCGUGUAGGCGGUUUGAUAAGUCAGGUGUGAAAGCCCGGGGCUCAACCCCGGAAGUGCACCUGAUACUGUCAGGCUUGAGUAUGGUAGAGGGAAGUGGAAUUCCUGGUGUAGCGGUGAAAUGCGUAGAUAUCAGGAGGAACACCGGUGGCGAAGGCGAUUUCCUGGACCAAUACUGACGCUGAGGCGCGAAGGCGUGGGGAGCAAACAGGAUUAGAUACCCUGGUAGUCCACGCAGUAAACGGUGAUCACUAGGUGUUGCGGGUAUUGACCCCUGCAGUGCCGGAGCUAACGCAUUAAGUGAUCCGCCUGGGGAGUACGGUCGCAAGAUUAAAACUCAAAGGAAUUGACGGGGGCCCACACAAGCGGUGGAGCAUGUGGUUUAAUUCGACGCAACGCGAAGAACCUUACCUGGAUUUGACAUCUGCGGAAUCUCUUUGAAAAUAGGGAGUGCCUUUCGAGGAGCUGCAAGACAGGUGCUGCAUGGCUGUCGUCAGCUCGUGUCGUGAGAUGUUGGGUUAAGUCCCGCAACGAGCGCACCCCCGUCUCUAGUUCCAGCGAUUAGGUCGGGGACUCUAAAAUACUGCCACGGUAAGUGAGAAGGUGGGAUGACGUCAGUCUCAUGGCCUUAUGUCAGGCUCCACGUGCUAAAGGAUGACAGAGUAACGUACCGGAGUGGGCAACCCAAACAAUCUCAUUCGGUUGAAUCUCAUCACUUCAGAAUGAACGCAUAUCGCGAGACAGGCGCGUGAUACGUCCGGCCUUGACACCGCCGUCACAGAAUUGUGUCACGAGUCUGGCAUCGACUCAUUAACUUGUGAUUUUACCACGAGAAGUGUAAGUGUUUUUCUUGAUUGAUUAUGCUGAGCAGCCCGAU